AUACGGAGGGGGUUAGCGUUGUUCGGAAUUACUGGGCGUAAAGCGUACGUAGGCGGACUGGAAAGUUGGGGGUGAAAUCCCGGGGCUCAACCCCGGAACUGCCUCCAAAACUUCCAAUCUAGAGAUCGAGAGAAGUGAGUGGAAUUCCAAGUGUAGAGGUGAAAUUCGUAGAUAUUUGGAGGAACACCAGUGGCGAAGGCGGCUCACUGGCUCGAUACUGACGCUGAGGUACGAAAGCGUGGGGAGCAAACAGGAUUAGAAACCCCAGUAGUCC
rnacentral:rRNA from 1 species